CAAUCCACAUAAAAGAUACGUUUGAGGAGGAGGAGGAGGAGGAGGAGGAGAGGAACAGCGUUUCUUCACCGUGACGUCCUCGGUGAGUGUCGUGCAAUCAGAGCCUCCCUCUUCCUCCCUCUUCUUCCCUCACCAACAUGGCGGCCCGUCGCGUCCGUGUGGCGUCGUGAUUAUUGAACAUCCCCUCUGAUUGGCUGGUGAACUCGAGCGAACAUGAAGCUGACGCUUUGCGCACGACGAUUUGCUGAAAGAGCUGUCAAUCAGACGCCGCCGGCUCGUGUUAGGGGGCGGGGUGUUCAGUUGAAGGUAACAGCAGGAGCGAAGUGGAGGAGCAGCGGACUGGAUGUGUCAGUCCUCACGACGACAAAUGACCAAAGUGAAAAGAUCUUCUCCGUCCUCCUCCAUCACGGGGCAGACAGCAGGCGGUGGUUUGAAAUGGCGGCGUGGGGAGGAGAGCAGCAGCGCUGCAGAGAGGCUGCAGAGAAAACCCAGGGUGGACUCACAGUGCUGAGUGGACGUGGAUCGACUGGAGAGGCAGCAACUGACAUGACUGUCACUCAUCUACAUUACAUUAUAACUCUAAUGUCUCCUACAGCUGAUACGGCUGAAGACGACUGUAUUUCAGCCAGAGUGACCAUCGGGUUUUUGGUCACCUCUCGAGCAGCCAGCUCCAUGAAGAGUCGUGGUUGUUCCACAUCAUGGAGGACACUGUGGCAGAUAACUCAGCUCUGAUGUGCAUCGUCAGCUGUGAGGCCUUACAGUACAUAAACAGAUGUGUGCCUUUGCAAAUCAUGUCUAAUCAGUUAAAUUUAGUACGGGUCACCUCAGAGAUGAUCAUGUGUCAUGGCAGUGUGUCUGAAGAGUUUCCUCAUACAUCCUCUUGAGUGAACAAUGAUGUGCUCCGUGAAGGCUCAACACAGGUGUCACGUCCCUACCUCAAGUAGUGUGAGGGAGGAACGAACAGAUCAAUGUGUCGGACACAGGACCUUCCCCCGGACAACUGGGGUUUGAAUCCGGGUCAUUUAUUGACCUAGUUAACAUAGUUUUUUCAGUUUCUCUUUAUUUUCAUUGUAGGUCUUUCACAAUAAUCACUCAAAAUAAGAAGAAACAGCAUUUUCUGGCGUGUAACUCUUUCUCUCUCUGUGUGUCUUUCACCUCUUUUUACAGAUGAGGAAAAAAUCUGAUAGAAAACAUAUGAUCCUGUUAAGACAAAAUUCUCAAUUGCCUUUCAGGGCUUCCAUAGAUCAUGUGUAUAUAACUAGUCUUUACUCUCCUCAUGUAUUGAGACGAGUCUUCUUUUUGAAUUCAUCAAACUUUAUUGUCAACAAUGUUGAACAAAUUAUUUGCUCACCUACCCUUUCUUUGUGUUCCUGGAUAUAUACUGUGAGUUGGCAUGAACAGAAACUUGUGCUCUGAUUAUUUGUAUAUGUCAGUAGUGAAGAGUUUGUCUUAAAUUGAAUUCAAAUAGAAUUUUACAUCACUUGUCAUGAAAAUGGUAAUGCCUCACAUUUUGAUCUUUUCUUUUCAUUAUGAUUUUGAACUGCUCUGCCUGUACCUGUCAUUUCUAUUACCUAUUUCCUACAGGCUGUGGCUCAGACGGUAGAGAAGUUCGUCCACUAACCAGAAGGUCGAUGGUUCCAUCAACUUCUCCUCCAGUCCACGUGCUGAAGUAUACUUGGGCAAGUCACUCAACCUUAAAUUGCGCCUGACAGCUUAUGAAUGCAGUAUAUGAAUGAUAGAAAAAGCUGUAUGCUGUAUAUAGCAAUGCAUUGUGGCACCGAGUGUCCCCACAGCAGUUCGGUCUGAGAUUUCUUCUGUUAAAAGAGUUUUUUCUCCUCCACAGUCUCAGAGCUUCUGAUUGUGGGAACUGUUGUGUUUCUCUAUAAUAUUGUGAGGUCACAACCGUAAUGUGCUGUGAGACGAUGUAUGUUGUGA